rnacentral:rRNA from 1 species
CUUUUGUAUAAUGGGUCAGCGACUUAUAUUCUGUAGCAAGGUUAACCGAAUAGGGGAGCCGAAGGGAAACCGAGUCUUAACUGGGCGUUAAGUUGCAGGGUAUAGACCCGAAACCCGGUGAUCUAGCCAUGGGCAGGUUGAAGGUUGGGUAACACUAACUGGAGGACCGAACCGACUAAUGUUGAAAAAUUAGCGGAUGACUUGUGGCUGGGGGUGAAAGGCCAAUCAAACCGGGAGAUAGCUGGUUCUCCCCGAAAGCUAUUUAGGUAGCGCCUCGUGAAUUCAUCUCCGGGGGUAGAGCACUGUUUCGGCAAGGGGGUCAUCCCGACUUACCAACCCGAUGCAAACUGCGAAUACCGGAGAAUGUUAUCACGGGAGACACACGGCGGGUGCUAACGUCCGUCGUGAAGAGGGAAACAACCCAGACCGCCAGCUAAGGUCCCAAAGUCAUGGUUAAGUGGGAAACGAUGUGGGAAGGCCCAGACAGCCAGGAUGUUGGCUUAGAAGCAGCCAUCAUUUAAAGAAAGCGUAAUAGCUCACUGGUCGAGUCGGCCUGCGCGGAAGAUGUAACGGGGCUAAACCAUGCACCGAAGCUGCGGCAGCGACACUAUGUGUUGUUGGGUAGGGGAGCGUUCUGUAAGCCUGUGAAGGUGUGCUGUGAGGCAUGCUGGAGGUAUCAGAAGUGCGAAUGCUGACAUAAGUAACGAUAAAGCGGGUGAAAAGCCCGCUCGCCGGAAGACCAAGGGUUCCUGUCCAACGUUAAUCGGGGCAGGGUGAGUCGACCCCUAAGGCGAGGCCGAAAGGCGUAGUCGAUGGGAAACAGGUUAAUAUUCCUGUACUUGGUGUUACUGCGAAGGGGGGACGGAGAAGGCUAUGUUGGCCGGGCGACGGUUGUCCCGGUUUAAGCGUGUAGGCUGGUUUUCCAGGCAAAUCCGGAAAAUCAAGGCUGAGGCGUGAUGACGAGGCACUACGGUGCUGAAGCAACAAAUGCCCUGCUUCCAGGAAAAGCCUCUAAGCAUCAGGUAACAUCAAAUCGUACCCCAAACCGACACAGGUGGUCAGGUAGAGAAUACCAAGGCGCUUGAGAGAACUCGGGUGAAGGAACUAGGCAAAAUGGUGCCGUAACUUCGGGAGAA